rnacentral:rRNA from 1 species
AUGCUCGUGGAUGCCCGUGGCGAGAUGCCUGGCGGCGCCCCUCCAGAGUCCUCGCUCCCCACUGAUGAGUGUCUGAUGGAUGCCCGCAAGCAGACUGAAGACGAGAUCGAAAGUAAAACCGAGGCCUCCUUGAAAGAAGGGUUAGAUCAUAUGAAGAAGAGUAGAGAUUUAACAAGAGAUUGCUUGAACAGUGUGCCACACCCAGGUACAAAUAUUGAAGAUGAAGAAGGGAAGCCUGGGAAUGAUAGGAAUGAAGAAGGGAGACAUCAGUGUGUGGAAGAUACUGAUUUAGAUGAGAGAGGCUAUGAUGUCGAGAUCACCGACACUGAAGCAUCAGACGAUUUGCUGUAUGAAGAAGUUCUGACGGUGCUGACUAAAAGUGCUCAAAGGAAAGAACAUCGGAAAGCUGUUUUGGAAUGA